CCUUUCUAUGAAAAAUAUUAUAAAUAAUUCUGUUGUUGUUAUAAGUAAUUCAGUUUCUCCAUGAUCAAAAUUUUGUAGUAAAUAGUCUUCUGCUGAGCCAAAAUGCUAGAUUAUUUUAGCAUUGAUUGCAAAUAUCUAGCUGCAACAGUUGUAGCCUUAGUUAUAGCAGUGUUAGUUGCCGAAAGACAUGGCCGGAGAAGAAAACGCCACCCCAUUGCAGGAACUGUUUUCCACCAACUUGUCAACUUCAACAGGCUACAUGAUUACAUGACAGAUCUUGCAAGAAAGCACAGCAGUUAUAGGCUGCUUAGCUUAUCAAGCAGUGAAGUGUGCACUUCAGACCCCACAAAUGUAGAAUAUAUCCUCAAGACAAAUUUUUCAAACUAUGGCAAGGUACUAAAUCAACUCUACAAAGUGCCAAAGUUAAAUCCUCAAUAUUUGGUUAUUUUUGUGCAUGUUUGCUAAUUUGCAAAAUCAGUUCUAGCCUCUAGAAUUGAUUCUUUUGCAAAAGUGAAUAUUUUUUACUUUCAGAAUAGUUACAACCAAACAUAAAUACGUUACAUGAAAAUCAGUUAUACCAGAAUUAGUUGUUGAAAAACAGAACUAGACAAGUUCAGAUAUAUGAUAAUUUUGUGGCUAGAAUGAAAAGUUGGUUAUUUCAGUUUGCAUAGUGAUAGCAUAGUUGAUUCCUACAUUUUAAAUAUUUCAUAUCUUCUUGAUGAACAUAUGAAAUAUCUAUUCCCCAACCUAUAGUGGAAAAAUAAUAUAUUGUUAAAUCCGUAACAUAGUCUCGAUGCUUGAGUCUAGAAAGUUCCUAUAACUUGUUUCAGGGACGGCAUCAGUAUGAAAUCCUGAGGGACCUAUUGGGAGAUGGGAUAUUCACAGUGGAUGGAGAGAAGUGGAGACAUCAGAGAAAGACGGCAAGCUAUCAACUUUCCUCAAAGCUUUCGAGAGAUUACAGCAGUUCGGUUUUCAAAUCGAAUGCUGUAAAACUUGCUGCAAUAGUGUCUGAAGAAGCAACAUCAAAUAAAGCAAUUGAAAUCCAAGACUUACUUUCCAAAACAACCAUGGACUCAGUAUUUAAUACAGUACUUGGUGUAGAAUUGGACACUAUAGGUGGAACAUAUGAAGAAGGCACCAAACUUUCUU